rnacentral:rRNA from 1 species
UACUCCUACGGGAGGCAGCAGUAGGGAAUCUUCGGCAAUGGACGGAAGUCUGACCGAGCAACGCCGCGUGAGUGAAGAAGGUUUUCGGAUCGUAAAGCUCUGUUGUAAGAGAAGAACGAGUGUGAGAGUGGAAAGUUCACACUGUGACGGUAUCUUACCAGAAAGGGACGGCUAACUACGUGCCAGCAGCCGCGGUAAUACGUAGGUCCCGAGCGUUGUCCGGAUUUAUUGGGCGUAAAGCGAGCGCAGGCGGUUAGAUAAGCCUGAAGUUAAAGGCUGUGGCUUAACCAUAGUACGCUUUGGAAACUGUUUAACUUGAGUGCAAGAGGGGAGAGUGGAAUUCCAUGUGUAGCGGUGAAAUGCGUAGAUAUAUGGAGGAACACCGGUGGCGAAAGCGGCUCUCUGGCUUGUAACUGACGCUGAGGCUCGAAAGCGUGGGGAGCAAACAGGAUUAGAUACCCUGGUAGUCCACGCCGUAAACGAUGAGUGCUAGGUGUUAGACCCUUUCCGGGGUUUAGUGCCGUAGCUAACGCAUUAAGCACUCCGCCUGGGGAGUACGACCGCAAGGUUGAAACUCAAAGGAAUUGACGGA